rnacentral:rRNA from 1 species
UACAGAGGCCCCAAGCAUUAUCCGGAAUCACUGGGCGUAAAGGGUGUGUAGGCGGUUGUAUUAGUCUUUCGUGAAAGCUCUCGGGCCUAACCCGGGAAACGCGGUAGAAACGGUACAACUACGAGGAUGCGAGAGGUAUAUGGAACUCAUGGUGUAGGGGUGAAAUCCGUUGAUAUCAUGGGGAACACCAAAUGCGAAGGCAAUAUACUGGCGCACUCCUGACGCUGAGACACGAAAGCGUGGGAAUCGAAAAGG